rnacentral:rRNA from 1 species
GACGAACGCUGGCGGCGUGCUUAACACAUGCCAGUCGAACGGAAAGGCCCUGCUUUUGUGGGGUGCUCGAGUGGCGAACGGGUGGGUAACACGUGAGUAACCUGCCCUUGACUUUGGGAUAACUUCAGGAAACUGGGGCUAAUACCGGAUAGGAGCUCCUGCUGCAUGGUGGGGGUUGGAAAGUUUCGGCGGUUGGGGAUGGCCUCGCGGCUUAUCAGCUUGUUGGUGGGGUAGUGGCUUACCAAGGCUUUGACGGGUAGCCGGCCUGAGAGGGUGACCGGCCACAUUGGGACUGAGAUACGGCCCAGACUCCUACGGGAGGCAGCAGUGGGGAAUAUUGCACAAUGGGCGGAAGCCUGAUGCAGCAACGCCGCGUGCGGGAUGACGGCCUUCGGGUUGUAAACCGCUUUCGCCUGUGACGAAGCGUGAGUGACGGUAAUGUGUAAAGAAGCACCGGCUAACUACGUG